rnacentral:rRNA from 1 species
UACGAACGGUCCAAACGUUAUUCGGAAUCACUGGGCUUAAAGCGUCCGUAGGCGGCUCGGAAAGUAGGGUGUGAAAUCCCACGGCUCAACCGUGGAAUUGCGCUCUAAACUAUCGAGCUAGAGGGAGAUAGAGGUGAGCGGAACUGAUGGUGGAGCGGUGAAAUGCGUUGAUAUCAUCAGGAACACCGGAGGCGAAGGCGGCUCACUGGGUAUUUUCUGACGCUGAGGGACGAAAGCUAGGGGAGCGAACGGG